rnacentral:rRNA from 1 species
ACGGCUAACUACGUGCCAGCAGCCGCGGUAAUACGUAGGUGGCAAGCGUUGUCCGGAUUUAUUGGGCGUAAAGUGAGCGCAGGCGGUUUUUAAGUUCUGAUGUGAAAGACCUUCGGCUCAACCGAAGAAGUGCAUCGGAAACUGGGAAACUUGAGUGCAGAAGAGGACAGUGGAACUCCAUGUGUAGCGGUGAAAUGCGUAGAUAUAUGGAAGAACACCAGUGGCGAAGGCGGCUGUCUGGUCUGUAACUGACGCUGAGGCUCGAAAGUAUGGGUAGCAAACAGGAUUAGAUACCCUGGUAG